CCACUACUUCCUUCAUUGGACUGCAAGGUAUUUCUGUUUGGAAAAGUAAUGGAGUCCAGUCAACUUCAUUGAUCGCCAAGGACUGUCAAAAUUAUAAAACUUGCUGUGGAGCUCUGACAUGCCAGAAGCCGCUAGAAAAAGAAGUUUGACAUUCAGAAACUUAUCAAGAGGUUCUACUCUUUGGAUAGAGACCAAAAUCAUACUUUGAAAAAGAAAGCCUGACAGGUUUCUUCGGAAAAGUGGCCAUCCAUGGAAUGAAUGAAAUGUUCUCUUUCUAUUCCACGCGGGUCCAAGCCUGUAGCCCCAAAUCGGAUAAUCUCUGCAGCUGAUAACAAGCAAAAGAGAAGCCAGGCAACAGCCAUAUUAAAGAAGAAAACAAUCAACUCUGAGAUCCAACUUAGAAAUAAUGUUUCAUUCAAGAUAAGGCUCGUGGCUUAGGAGAUUGUGACCUGGCUUGCAUCAUUCUAAGACUUCUAUCGUCUGUUUUCAAAACCCAAGGAGGACCUCCUUUUCUGUGUGAUAGUUCCUCAUGCUUUGCCAGCCACUGGGUCUUUAAGGAAGCUUGCCAAGAGUUCCCGGCUGGGAAGGACAGUUCGAGUUCAUCAUAGACAAUGAGCUGGCACCACAGUUUAAGUGACUCACCAACCUGGUUGCCCACUUCAAAAUGUCAAGAACCACACUAUCUAAUUGAAAGAACUGUGUUUUAGCAAAGUGUAAUUGGAUCGCCUGGCAAGAUCAUCUCAAACUAUGUCUCUGACCUUGCCUUUCAGUGGCUAUUUUGAGCACAAGAGGAGAAAGGAAAUGAUUCCUGAAUUAUAUCUUGUUUUUAAAAAUUAAGAUUAAUUAAUACUUGGUUUUAUGUUCAUUCCAUUGUAGGAACUUAGUGAUUAUUACAAAACAGUCAAAAUAGGUCAUAGCAAAAUGAACGUUUAAGAUUAGGUUAAAACAUUCCUCUGAAAUUUUAGUAUUCACUUUUGAAGUGUCAAUUACUAUAUUUCUGUAAUUUCUCAUUUUUUUCUUGGCUUAGAGUCAAGAUGAAAAAUGAUAUUUGAAUCAAAGACAUUGUUUUGUUAUAUAGCCACUCCUUUCUAAAAUGCAAAUCCACCCUCCCCUCACCAAUGCUUUAUUCUUUGUGCGCGCACACACACACACACACACACACACACACACACACACACACAGACAUACACAGAACCAGCACCCAAAUGGUAGAGGAGGUCCUUCCAAGACUUCUAGGACCUGGAUCAUGUAAGCAGUAGAUGAGAAAAUGAAGUAAGAGAUAUAGAGUAAUAACAAUAAAAGUCAAUGAUUUCAUUUUACAAAAAAGUCAUUGUGUAGUACUCAGAUAUUUUUAAGAGCAAGUAUUAUUAUGACUAAAGUAUAUUAUACUUCUAAAUUAUUAUGAUUCUCAUCUAAUUUCAAGCCACACAUAGGCGCCAUUUGAAAGCAUUUUGUGUUACAACCUAUCAACAAAAAUCAACUAAUAGUUUUAUAACGUGCAUAGGUUUACCCCAUGGGGAAUUAAAAUUUUUAUCUGCAAGUAUUUCUGUUGUUGUGAGACUUUAGGACAAGACAACAUUUGGUGUUAACAUAGAAGAAUAUUCUAUGGCUUUUUUAGCUUUAAAGUUCAUUACUCUAAAAUAAAGUACACGUGGUAUUUUUUUCUUCCUAGUGUUCUCUUAUUAUAUGUAGAGUAUUUUCGGUUGUUGUUUUUAACGUAUACAUUAUUUUUAUUAAGUCAUUUCAUAAAAGAUAAGAUAUAUACUAAUAGACCCUUGGUUUUCUCCUAAUUUAAUUAUUUCAAGUCAAGCAAAAUUGGGCAAUUUUCUUUCAGGAAAAAAAAAAUAUUGAGCAUGAUUUUGAGGUAAAACUGAUUAUUUACAGCAUCUUUUCUCUAAUAGGCUAACAUUUAUGAUGGAUCUUAUUUCAAAGUUGAUUAUUCUCAAAGAAAAGUGGAGAUAUUAGAAUUUCCGAGUAAAUUGCAUUGUUUUAAAAAGUACUUUAAUGCAUUGUUCACAUUGUUGCCAGCUAUUGACCAAAAAAGAGAAGAAGAAAAAAGAAAUAAAAAAAGCAGUAUCUGCUCCAAACGUCAAGUUUUGCAGUUUGAAAGAC
ensembl:lncRNA SOX2-OT SOX2 overlapping transcript